rnacentral:pre_miRNA from 1 species
CAACUACUCCCUCCAUCCCAAAAUUAUUGUCUUAGAUUUGUCUAGAUACAGAUGUAUCUAGUACUAAAAUGUGACUUGAUACAUCUGUAUCUAGACAAAUCUAAGACAAAAUUUUUGGGACGGAGGGAGUACUUU